AGCUGGAAAAAUAAUAAAAAAAAUAUUUAAUAUUAGGUUAAGAAAUUGUGUGAGAUAGCAUUGUGGAAUAUUACAGCAUUUAAAUUUCCCGCGACAAAAUGGGCGCGCAGCGGUGCAUUCGAAAAAUCAAAAUUUACCGCCAAUAGUUCCGAGCUUUUUUGUUAAAAUCCUAGAUAAAAGCAGUUAUAUGUUAAUUCAAUAUUGGGAUGUAUUUUCAAGAUUUUUAUAAUAUUAUUAUAUUAUAAAUUUCAAUUUUGAAACUUAUUUUAUAUUUCUUAAAAUAUUUCGACACUUGACUCGAGUAGUAAUGGCCGCCAUUACGAAUUCGUUUGCGAAGUGCCGAGGGAAGAAAUAAUUAGUUCGGAUAAAAGUAAAAAUGGAUGGAGUAACUGCACGUAACCUGUUGCUACUAAUAAUUAAGUGGUAUACGCUUAUCGUAAGCGGUUUCCCAUGCGCCGUUUAAAUUACACACUUUAUCAAAGAGCCAGCUGAUUAACGAAGCUCCAACCGCGUGACAUUUUCCCGUUAUCGUAACUACAGAUUUUAUAUAAUACAUUCAGCGUGUACGUUUUCUUUUUCAGAAAUGGUGAUAAAACGACAGGAAAGAAUCCGAGUAACCGGAUCGGAUCAUACGAAAAAAUAAGAAGAAAGCAAAACUGUUUUAUCGACGAUGAGUAAACCCCGUUAGUUUAUACAUAAUGUCCAGUCGACUACAGUUUGCUCCAGAUCUCGUUGCCAUGCAUGGACGUCUACCUUCGCUCCACGGAAACAAAGAAUGAUAAAUACAGAACACAAAUGGUUCUACAUUUCCUAUGAAGCAACUGGUUGUUGGAAGAGACUAUAGGGGCAUUGUUUUUAUGAAAGAUUGUUGAGUUCGUGAUACAAGGAUUAAUUUGCUACCAGGAUACACUUGAAACUCAUUGCAAAGUGAUGAAGAACAAAGUAAAGAGCACAAUAAACCACAUUGCGGUUAUGCAUAAUAGAAUGAAGAUCUAGCAGCAACUAGACUGGACAGUCGUUAUUGGAGCAUCAAUAAAAAGCCAGUUAUUGUUCUCCAAUAAAGUCACGACAGUUACGCGAUCCAGCGUGGGCCUCGUGGCUCGAUCCUUGGAUCGAUAACGCGAAAUCUCGUCCACGUUUCUCUCCCCGGGCACUUUCCAUCAGCGUUACGAGAAACCACUUUAUUUAUACCCAGAAAAUUCUUUUUCCAUCGUAGCCCACAAGUGGUGCUCGCUCGCCGGUACGUUCUAAUAUGCAAGCGUGGGCGUUAUCCCCCCCCCCCACAUCCAAGAAUCUUCUACAGAACCAACAAUCGCGAAACCGUAAGUUGUAAUAAAACCAUUGUACGUGUUUGAACGAUCGUUCGACAAUAACCAUUUGUAGAAUACGAAUCAAGGAGUUGUUCGCAUGAACUUUAAGUAUUCAUGAUAUGUACACGCACGUGGUUCUUCGAGAUACCGGUCCGAGUGCCGUGAACUGUUACACGGCCUGCAAUCAGUAUUAACACGUCCCACAUAUUACGUAGGAUGAUAUUUACUAUAAACAAUGAAGAAUGCACUUUGUAUUCAAAAAUAAUGAUAAUAGAAUAGAGAGCGGAGAAGGUAGAAAACUGUUGAAGCAUGAAGGAGAGAGCUGUUGGCGAAAAACGCUGACACAUAAAUAUGCUAGAGGGUUGAAAGGUUUGAAAAGCUUAGCAAAAAAAAGCUUCCCUGAUAAAGGUAUUCUAAAGUGAAAAUCGAGGCCAAGCUGGAGGGAGUGAUUUCCAUAGCUUUUGCAAUGAACCAACAAUAUAUCCCAGCCGCCUGGUGGCGGAGCUGGUUGCCAGGCAGCGGGUUUCGUCCAGAAACCGAGGGAAACGCGAAGUUGCGUGAGGCGUCGGAUAUUUAUUGUAUACAUUGAGCAACGAUUAUGAAACGAAGCGCUGUGCAGGGAUAGAAAAUUUCUCCCUUACGUUACAUGCACGAUUUUUUUUUAAUGGGUCUGAUGAGUUUGUAAAAUACAUGAAGCGGUGAUUGCACGCCGUACCAGGAAUGGAUGAAGAUUCUUGGGGCCCAGGACUAACCUUUAACCCUGUAUUCACUGAAUUUCUUAAAAGUUUUUAAAAUUUGUGCCAACUUUUUUAAAUACUUAAUUUAGGUGGAAGUAAACACCCUAUAGCACAAUUUUCAUUAUAAGUCACCACCGAGGUCAUUAAUUAUAUGGAAAAUAAUUUGGGACUUCGAAGUCCCGGAAGCAAUAUUUUUGUGCUGCCAUUCCAGGGUCGGCCUUGGGCCUAGGUAGACUAGGCGACUGCCUAGGGGCCCCCAAGGUCCAGGGCCCCUAUAAGACUUGAAUAUUAAUCUACUUGAAUUAAUUUACUUGAAUAUUAAUCAAAAUUAGUUACACAAGCUUUAAUCUUAAUUUUAUAAAUUUCAUUUGAGCUACACUUUUUUAUGUCAUAUAUGUGAAUGGGCCCGCCUCGGACCCUUGAAAUCUCAGGGCCGCCCCUGCUUAUAAGUCCCAUCAGUAAAUAAAGGGUUAAAAGAGUUCCUUGAUUUAAAAAUUGAAUUUUAUUCCAAACAAAAUUAAGUAGCAUUUAAUCUUAAAGAAAAAGGGCAAGAAUGAAAGAAAAAUGGUGCCCUCUUAGUGUAAGAUCUCACCGCGAAAUUCUGUGUUAGAAAAUAAGCGUCGAUUCCGGUUUCGAACACAGGUGCCGCUAUUACGAGAUUAAUAAGCGUGAUCGUAAAUAAUCGCGUGGCACGAUACGAGUUGCGCGCCACUGAUUUAAUGGACGGCCGUUGGCCGGUGUUGGUAAUCGCGGUGAAAAAUCUUUCCUUUGAACGAGCCUGAAUCCGCCGUAAUUUUGUCGUCAGCAACGCCGUCCCUGCCCUUUAAUUACGAUUCGCUCGUCGAUCUCGGAUGAAUCGACGCGAAAAUGCGGACUCGAUGAAAAACUUCAACGUAUCAAGGUUCAACGACCCUUAUCCCUUGUCUCGUGUCUCGUUAAACGGCACGGUGUAGCCGCGAAGAAGAUUCGCGAAACCUCGAGCCAUACUAUUCUUAGAUUUCUGGAAAACCGUGAAUGGACAUAGGGUGGAAUCAAAUCAGAUCUCAAAAUGAAUCUCAUAAUCAACGAAUGACUGGAAUUAAGAUAAUGGGAUUUUUUUUGCCAUAGAUAGCCCUUGACCUGGUGAUUCCAAUGGUGGCCAUUUUAUCCCUUAACCCCCCCUUAGGGGUCAGAAAUUGAAAUGGUCCAAAAAGUGAGUACGUCAUUUGAAAACAAAAAAAAACUAACCUAACCCUAACCUAACCUGAAAUGGCCCUAUGACUAAUUCAAAGUCAGUAAUUCAUCGAUUAGGUUUUUUUUUUUUUUAAAUUACACAUGAUAAUAAAAAUUAUACAUAAAAAUUAAAAAAAACCCUAACCUAACCGAUGAAUUACUGAGGUUGAAUUAGUCGUAGGGUCAUUUUAGAUUAGGUUAGUUUUUUUUCCAUUUCAGUUUUUGACCCCUUGGGGGGAGUUAAGGGAUAGAAUGGCCACCAUUAGAAUCGCCAGGUCAAGGGUUAUCUAUGGUAAAAAAAUCAGCUUGAUAGGGGUACCCCAUUUUCUUAAAUCCAACCCAAAGUACUUGCACUUUAAUGGUAAAACAGUAUUCGUAAUUACUGUAACAGGGAUUACAAUUUAAUUACCAUUUCCAUAAAAACUAAUGACUGGGAAAAUAAUAGCGCUCACUGGGUAUGUGUACUAAUGGAGAAGCUCGUCAAUGAAUAGUGAAUCAAGGUUUGCUUAUUUCCAAAUAGGAGAAGCAAAACUAGCCUAUUAGCGUAGGAAAUAACGCGGCGAUGUACCGUAAGCCGUCGGAGAGCCUUCACGCAUCGUGGAUCGAAGCGAACAGGACACGGAGAACAGGCACGAUCGAUUCGUGGCUCGUUACGGCGUCUGGUCGAAAGUUCGAACGAGCCCUGUGCAUUAAUAUUUCCGUUAUUGCGCGCACGGCCACCGAGGUUAUGCCUUUCACACAGCUAAAUAAUCGUUGUAUCUUCCAAUCAAUCAUCGUCUAAUUAACGCUAUGCCUGCUGUAUACAAUAUGUUUCAGGCAAUUUUAUAUGAUAGUUUUAAACUGUAUUCAUAUUGAACAUCAGUGAUUUCUUUUAUUGGAACAGCUGUGUGCUAAGGAAAGCCUCAAACAUAAGUUUUAUAAUACUUGUCACUGAUGUAAUGAUUACCUAGUACUCUUCAAGUACAUAUGUUAUCUUGGAGAAACUUGUAAUUGGAUAGGAAAUAGAAUUUUUAUAAAAAUAAUGAUAGACAACUCUAUGAUCAGUUCAUGCAUCAUUCAUGGGAAUUUGAUAUCAUAGAGAAAUUUAGUACUAUAGAAUCAGAUUUACUGAAUUUAGGACUCCCUUUUAAGGAGAUCUUUGUUCCACAUAUUUCUCAAUCAACUCCAGUAAUUUGAUCAAUUUUAAUGAACAAUUUAUAUUCUAUUGGUCAAACAGUACCUCAAACAGUAUUUUACAUAAGCAUAGUUCAGACAGUGAUAAGUUUUAUAAUACUUGUCACUGAUGUAAUGAUUACCCAGUACUAUUCAAGUACAUAUGUUAUCUUGAAGAAACUUGUAAUUGGAUAGGAAAUAGAAUGUCUUGAAUCUUUGAUCAAAUUUGUAUAAUUUUUAUAAAAAUGAUAAUGAUAGACAACUCUAUGAUCAAUUCAUGGGAAUUUGAUGGCACUAUAGAAUCAGAUUUACUGAAUUUAGGACUUUGUUCCCCAUUUAGAAUCACAUAUUUCUGAAUCAACUCCAGUAUUUUAAUCAAUUUUAAUGAACACUAUUGAUCAAAGAUUAAGACAAAAGGAAAAUGCGAACCUGGAGCGCCCAGAUGCAUAGAUCACCGUAGAUCUUUAAUCCAAAAUGGUCACGUGUACACCACUACACUGUCUAUUCAUUUUCACAGGAGUAUGCUAUUGAAACCAAGUGAAACUGUUAGGAUAAUGAAUAAGUAAAAGGAAGCUCCUGAAUAAAACGUUGAACGCGAAUAGAAUCCGUUCGAGUCCGUGGUCGCGGCGCGACUAAAUGUUGAUCCAGGACUUUCACUUUGAGAUCCAGCCGGCCCUCGGUCCCUUCUCGAGCCGAUUAUCCGCAGCACGCCCACGCUCUCCACUCUGAAUCACGAUCGAAUUGUUCUUACGCGAAUAAUACCGUUCGUCGAGUGGACAGGAUACGUUCAGGACCAAAGAGAGCACCUUCUCUUGAAGUUUAAAGUUCACAAUAUUUUCAGGUAAUACUUUUUAUUACAAGGAAGAAUAUAUGGAAGAAGAGAAAUGUUCUGCAGUUGAAUAUGAUUUAGGGAACAUGAAAGUGAAUGAACUGGCGCGUUAGCAACGCCUGAAAUUGCUCAGAGUUUGUUAUCGUAGUUCAUUGAACGAGGAACAGCGAAGGAGGACGAAAAGGAAUCGCUUACGUAAACGCUUUCGUUUGUUUUUCAAAUAUGCACUGGCUCGAUUCUGAUUCAGCACGGAAGAGAGCAUGUGCCUUCCACCAGCUUGCUGCGAUUCGCCUGGCCGAUGAUCAGAUAUUAGAAACUUCGCUUUUCAUUUGUAAUAAGCGAAAAAAAAAUUCCUUAUAAAGAGGGACCUUGAGGCGAUAUAUGAAAAUUAAUACUCGAAAGGCAAGGGGGUAAUUAACAAAGAUUAGUAAAAAAAAAUAAAAAAAAAUAUUAUCCACAAAUUGGGAUUCGAACCCUAGCCGUCUUGGUAGCAGGCUAGCGCUCUACCACUUCAGCCAAAAAACCGUUUUGGGACCAAGCCUUACCUAUCGGACAUACUAGAUACGUGAGAAACUUUACAUUAAAAUAUCAAAAUCCAAGGCCCACCUAGUGCCAUUCGAAAAGCGAUUUCCACACCUGUGCCUUCCCCUUCCAAGAAACGUAAUCGUGGCAGAUUAUAUCGAGUCCCAGCUGUUCACCUCCGCAGGUAUAAUCCAUUCCCUGACUUUCCUCGUUCUACAGUUACUCCGGGGUGAAAGGUGAACCCUCUCCUUUCUACACGCGACCGAGCCAGCAGGAGGAUCCGUGGUUAUAUGUACUUGUCAGGAGCUAUUACAACAUCGAGGCACCGCUUCGUUUUGCCUCGAUCAUCGAGAAUGAAUCCUUGAAAGAAGGUGAUUCACUAGGAGAGUUCACGUCUGCUUGGAUUUAUAAUAAAUGAAUGUAUCAUUAAAGAAAGAUUCUUUUACAAUUUCAUAGAAAUAUGCAAAUUACCAUAGAAUAUAUUUACAAAAUAUAAAGCUUUGAACAAGCUCUGAAGAUUAGCCUUGAAGAUUGGCCCAACAACAGUAAGUUUGGUGGAGGAGUUUGAAGAAUACUAAACUGUAUCCAGCAAUUGUCCUUACAUUCGAAAGAGCAAGUUUCGUGGGCAGACUAAAUAAGGCCAAGGGAAGUGAAAUGAGUGGUUCGAGACAAAGGAAAACAUCGGUUUACUGGAAUCGUAUCUAAUCUCAAUCAUUAUUCCCUACGCGUAUAUACCUGUUCAUUAUUUUCUGCUGCCCUCGACGCGAGUUACCGCGACUAAAGUGACAUCAUAUUCUCUUCACGAACCAGUUCUCAUUGACUUUGAGCAAGGAAAAUACUUUUGAUGUACCUACUUUGAAAGCUUUACCUUAGGACCAAUCAGAUAGCCGCGCUUGUCUAAUCAGUCCUGCUCCGCCAAUCACAGGGCGCGUCACUUCAGCCCCUGGGUAAAUGGGCCAGAUGCAUCUGAUAAAGCCACUUGCGGCGCGCGCAGGCCAGUCAGUCUGCUGUUGGGCUUCGAAGAAGCAGGAUUGCAGAUGACCUCGAGUUUGCCAUGUUAGACGCCCCCAUUGUAAUUUGAGAAAAUUUGGAUAGAUAUCAAAUGAAUGGCAGAUCUACCAAAAUACUGAGGGACUGGAAUACCUGGAGGCUUAAUUAAAUUCGUCUAGACACCCACGAUGAAGUGAUCAACUUUGCACUAGGGGCAGAGGAGGAAGAGAAGAAGAGGAGGGUCGACUUUUCUCUUAUGUAAUAGAGACUAAAGUUUCUGCUCAGUGUAGCAUGCAUACAAGCCGCCUCGCUACUUCCAAGCAAAACGGAGGAGGCAUUGUCUCUUCACGUGUUCGACCGAGUUAUCCUCUUUUGUGACCUCCUAAACGAGCUCCAACUUUUCAACGAUCCGACCAAGGCGUUCUUCAACGUCCUCCUGAAGUCUUGUUUAAAAAUGAACAAUGUAGAAACAACUGGGGAUUUCCAAAAGAUACUAGAUCAUCCUGGAGACCUCAAAAUGAUGCACACAUAAUUUUAAGACUGAUUUUUCUUUUAAUAACUGAAAGUGAAGAAAUGAAAAAUAUAGAAAAAACUGGGGAUUUCUAUAAGAUACUAGAUCAUCCUGGAGACCUCAAAAUGAUGCACACAUAAUUUUAAGACUGAUUUUUCUUUUAAUAACUGAAAGUGAAGGUCUAACAAGUUGAACUGCAGCCUUUCCGAAGUUGUAUUCACGCAUCGAUGCCAGCCAAAACCCGGAAGUUGGGCUUCGAAACCAGUUCGUCACAGCACCGGUGCAACGCUUAUCGAUUAUCUUCUUAUCGUCUCGCGAUUUACCGUGUCAACCUCUGCCCGUCGUUACUAAUUGCCAUUCGUUAUUACAUAAGUCGCAUUAAUUAUUUUCCACCGGUCAUGACUUCUUCUGUAAUCGUAACUUAGUGAGAGGCAAAAGUAACUAGACACUGUUCAAAAUACCUCGGUUAAAAUUUGACUAAAUAACUUGAGGUUUUUUGAGAAGCCAUAAAAAUUAAUUCCAUCGUUUUAAAAAAUUACUAUUUAUUGAA